rnacentral:misc_RNA from 1 species
AUUUGUACUUUUCUUUAAUCAAUAAUUUUGAUAAACAAACAUGCCAUUAGAUAUACUUGAUAAUAAUUGCCUUUGCUAUAAUAGCUAAAACCAGAAUAUUGAUAUAUAGUUUACAUGUCCACAAAUAACCACCAACAGCAACAUACACCGUGCAAUCCCACAAAUGGAGUAAUGGAAUGGUACAAUGUACGUAGAUGUUAACUUCUCUAACAUGCAUUAUAAGCAGGACAACUAAACGCUGGGCUG